GAUGAACGCUGGCGGCGUGCCUAAUACAUGCAAGUCGAGCGAAUGGAUUGAGAGCUUGCUCUUAUGAAGUUAGCGGCGGACGGGUGAGUAACACGUGGGUAACCUGCCCAUAAGACUGGGAUAACUCCGGGAAACCGGGGCUAAUACCGGAUAACAUUUUGAACCGCAUGGUUCGAAAUUGAAAGGCGGCUUCGGCUGUCACUUAUGGAUGGACCCGCGUCGCAUUAGCUAGUUGGUGAGGUAACGGCUCACCAAGGCAACGAUGCGUAGCCGGCCUGAGAGGGUGAUCGGCCACACUGGGACUGAGACACGGCCCAGACUCCCACGGGAGGCAGCAGUAGGGAAUCUUCCGCAAUGGACGAAAGUCUGACGGAGCAACGCCGCGUGAGUGAUGAAGGCUUUCGGGUCGUAAAACUCUGUUGUUAGGGAAGAACAAGUGCUAGUUGAAUAAGCUGGCACCUUGACGGUACCUAACCAGAAAGCCACGGCUAACUACGUGCCAGCCGCCGCUGUAA
rnacentral:rRNA from 1 species